rnacentral:rRNA from 1 species
AGGAUGAACGCUGGCGGCGUGCCUAAGACAUGCAAGUCGAGUGGGUUUAGACCCACGGCGAACGGGUGAGUAAUACCUAGGAACUUUUCUUGAGUGGAGCAUAACUCGCCGAAAGGCGAGAUAAUUCUCCAUGUGCCCGCAAGGGUAAAGUCGCAAGACGCUCAAGGUGAGGCCUGGGCACCAUCAGCUAGUUGGUAAGGUAACGGCUUACCAAGGCUAUGACGGUUAGGGGCCCCGAGAGGGGAAACCCCCACACUGGGACUGCGACACGGCCCAGACUCCUACGGGAGGCAGCAGUUUGGAAUUUUGGACAAUGGACGAAAGUCUGAUCCAGCGACGCCGCGUGGACGAUGAAGGCCUUCGGGUUGUAAAGUCCUUUGCUCGGGAACAAUUUUGAGCGUACCGAGAGAAUAAGAGGUUGCUAACUCUGCGCCAGCAGCCGC